GGCAGGCUUAACACAUGCAAGUCGAGGGGCAGCGAGGGUAAUAGCAAUAUUACCUGUCGGCGACCGGCGCACGGGUGCGUAACGCGUAUGCAACCUACCAUCAACAGGGGGAUAACACUGAGAAAUUGGUACUAAUACCCCAUAAUAUCUCAUGCGGCAUCGCAUGGGGUUGAAAACUCCGGUGGUUGAUGAUGGGCAUGCGUUGUAUUAGCUGGUUGGUGAGGUAACGGCUCACCAAGGCGACGAUACAUAGGGGGACUGAGAGGUUAACCCCCCACAUUGGUACUGAGACACGGACCAAACUCCUACGGGAGGCAGCAGUGAGGAAUAUUGGUCAAUGGCCGCAAGUCUGAACCAGCCAUGCCGCGUGCAGGAUGACGGCUCUAUGAGUUGUAAACUGCUUUUGUACGAGGGUAAACCCCGAUACGUGUAUUGGGUUGAAAGUAUCGUACGAAUAAGGAUCGGCUAACUCCGUGCCAGCAGCCGCGGUAAUACGGAGGAUCCGAGCGUUAUCCGGAUUUAUUGGGUUUAAAGGGUGCGUAGGCGGUUUGAUAAGUUAGAGGUGAAAUGUCGGGGCUCAACCCCGAAACUGCCUCUAAUACUGUUGGACUAGAGAAUAGUUGCGGUAGGCGGAAUGUAUGGUGUAGCGGUGAAAUGCUUAGAGAUCAUACAGAACACCGAUUGCGAAGGCAGCUUACCAAACUAUAUCUGACGUUGAGGCACGAAGGCGUGGGUAGCAAACAGGAUUAGAUACCCUGGUAGUCCACGCAGUAAACGAUGAUAACUCGUUGUCGGCGAUACACAGUCGGUGACUAAGCGAAAGCGAUAAGUUAUCCACCUGGGGAGUACGUUCGCAAGAAUGAAACUCAAAGGAAUUGACGGGGGCCCGCACAAGCGGAGGAACAUGUGGUUUAAUUCGAUGAUACGCGAGGAACCUUACCCGGGCUUGAAAGUUAGCGACGACGCUUGAAAGAGCGUUUCCCUUCGGGGCGCGAAACUAGGUGCUGCAUGGUUGUCGUUAGCUCGUGCCGUGAGGUAUCGGGUUAAGUCCCAUAACGAGCGCAACCCCUACUGUUAGUUGCCAUCAGGUGAUGCUGGGCACUCUAGCGGGACUGCCGGUGUAAGCCGAGAGGAAGGUGGGGAUGACGUCAAAUCAGCACGGCCCUUACGUCCGGGGCGACACACGUGUUACAAUGGCAGGUACAGAGAGAAGCGACACGGCGACGUGGAGCGGAACUGUCAAAACCUGUCUCAGUUCGGAUCGGAGUCUGCAACCCGACUCCGUGAAGCUGGAUUCGCUAGUAAUCGCGCAUCAGCCAUGGCGCGGUGAAUACGUUCCCGGGC
rnacentral:rRNA from 1 species